GAGUUUGAUCAUGGCUCAGAUUGAACGCUGGCGGCAGGCCUAACACAUGCAAGUCGAACGGUAACAGGAAACAGCUUGCUGUUUCGCUGACGAGUGGCGGACGGGUGAGUAAUGUCUGGGAAACUGCCUGAUGGAGGGGGAUAACUACUGGAAACGGUAGCUAAUACCGCAUAACGUCGCAAGACCAAAGAGGGGGACCUUCGGGCCUCUUGCCAUCAGAUGUGCCCAGAUGGGAUUAGCUAGUAGGUGGGGUAACGGCUCACCUAGGCGACGAUCCCUAGCUGGUCUGAGAGGAUGACCAGCCACACUGGAACUGAGACACGGUCCAGACUCCUACGGGAGGCAGCAGUGGGGAAUAUUGCACAAUGGGCGCAAGCCUGAUGCAGCCAUGCCGCGUGUAUGAAGAAGGCCUUCGGGUUGUAAAGUACUUUCAGCGGGGAGGAAGGGAGUAAAGUUAAUACCUUUGCUCAUUGACGUUACCCGCAGAAGAAGCACCGGCUAACUCCGUGCCAGCAGCCGCGGUAAUACGGAGGGUGCAAGCGUUAAUCGGAAUUACUGGGCGUAAAGCGCACGCAGGCGGUUUGUUAAGUCAGAUGUGAAAUCCCCGGGCUCAACCUGGGAACUGCAUCUGAUACUGGCAAGCUUGAGUCUCGUAGAGGGGGGUAGAAUUCCAGGUGUAGCGGUGAAAUGCGUAGAGAUCUGGAGGAAUACCGGUGGCGAAGGCGGCCCCCUGGACGAAGACUGACGCUCAGGUGCGAAAGCGUGGGGAGCAAACAGGAUUAGAUACCCUGGUAGUCCACGCCGUAAACGAUGUCGACUUGGAGGUUGUGCCCUUGAGGCGUGGCUUCCGGAGCUAACGCGUUAAGUCGACCGCCUGGGGAGUACGGCCGCAAGGUUAAAACUCAGAUGAAUUGACGGGGGCCCGCACAAGCGGUGGAGCAUGUGGUUUAAUUCGAUGCAACGCGAAGAACCUUACCUGGUCUUGACAUCCACGGAAGUUUUCAGAGAUGAGAAUGUGCCUUCGGGAACCGUGAGACAGGUGCUGCAUGGCUGUCGUCAGCUCGUGUUGUGAAAUGUUGGGUUAAGUCCCGCAACGAGCGCAACCCUUAUCCUUUGUUGCCAGCGGUCCGGCCGGGAACUCAAAGGAGACUGCCAGUGAUAAACUGGAGGAAGGUGGGGAUGACGUCAAGUCAUCAUGGCCCUUACGACCAGGGCUACACACGUGCUACAAUGGCGCAUACAAAGAGAAGCGACCUCGCGAGAGCAAGCGGACCUCAUAAAGUGCGUCGUAGUCCGGAUUGGAGUCUGCAACUCGACUCCAUGAAGUCGGAAUCGCUAGUAAUCGUGGAUCAGAAUGCCACGGUGAAUACGUUCCCGGGCCUUGUACACACCGCCCGUCACACCAUGGGAGUGGGUUGCAAAAGAAGUAGGUAGCUUAACCUUCGGGAGGGCGCUUACCACUUUGUGAUUCAUGACUGGGGUGAAGUCGUAACAAGGUAACCGUAGGGGAACCUGCGGUUG
rnacentral:rRNA from 1 species